rnacentral:miRNA from 55 species
UAAUGCCCCUAAAAAUCCUUAU